AUUGAACGCUGGCGGCAUGCCUUACACAUGCAAGUCGAACGGCAGCACGGGAGCAAUCCUGGUGGCGAGUGGCGAACGGGUGAGUAAUAUAUCGGAACGUGCCCAGUAGUGGGGGAUAACCCGGCGAAAGUCGGACUAAUACCGCAUACGACCUACGGGUGAAAGCGGGGGAUCGCAAGACCUCGCGCUAUCGGAGCGGCCGAUAUCAGAUUAGCUUGUUGGUGGGGUAAAAGCCUACCAAGGCGACGAUCUGUAGCUGGUCUGAGAGGACGACCAGCCACACUGGGACUGAGACACGGCCCAGACUCCUACGGGAGGCAGCAGUGGGGAAUUUUGGACAAUGGGCGCAAGCCUGAUCCAGCCAUGCCGCGUGCGGGAAGAAGGCCUCGGUUGUAACGACUUUGUCUAGGAGAACGGUUAGUAGC
rnacentral:rRNA from 1 species